UACGGAGGGUGCAAGCGUUGUUCGGAAUUAUUGGGCGUAAAGCGCGCGCAGGCGGCUUGAGAAGUCUAUGGGUGAAAGGCCGGGGCUCAACCCCGUGUGUGCCCAGGAUACUCUCAGGCUAGAGACACGUAGAGGCAAGCGGAAUUCCGGGUGUAGCGGUGGAAUGCGUAGAGAUCCGGAAGAACACCGGAGGCGAAGGCGGCUGCUGGGCGUGAUCGUGACGCUGAGGCGCGAAAGCCAGGGGGAGCGAACGGGG
rnacentral:rRNA from 1 species